rnacentral:rRNA from 1 species
UAACCAUUUAUAUGUUUAGGUGGGUAUCUCCUUASAGUCGGGUUGCUUGAGAGUGCAGCUCUAAGWGGGUGGUAAACUCCAUCUAAGGCUAAAUAUGACUACGAAACCGAUAGCGAACAAGUACCGUGAGGGAAAGUUGAAAAGAACUUUGCAGAGAGAGYUCAAGAGUACGUGAAACUGUUCAGGGGUAAACCUGUAAUACCCAAAUAGUUCGAAAGAGGUGAUUCAUUUGUUUUUCCGUUUAUAACCAUUUUUCAGUAUAUAGACAUGUAUAAAUCAUUUACAAUUUCUAAUUGUAUAUGUUAUAUUAUAUAUGCUAUUCUGAUUAAUGUAUAGUUUAUAUUCGGUGGCAUGCACUUCAUCUCUAGUAGAGCGUCGUAACUCAUUAGAUAUAAUAUAUUUAUAUAUGUGAUGUUUAAGGUUCACAAUGGAGACCGUGGCGUCAUUAUAUUUUUUAUUAAAUAUUAUGUGCGACCCGGACUUGUGUUAUCCUAACAUUCUAUCUAAUGGUAUWAUAUAUGAAAAUGUAAAUCACAUAUUAUUUGUGUGUGUGUUCUAUUACUAUAACAAAUAUUAAUA